AAAAAAAAGAAAGAAAGAUAGAAAGAGAGGGACUGCAAUUACCAUCAAUCGGUAGCCGAGAGAGGAAAGGAAGAAGAAGAAGUAAAAGGAGAAGUUGGUGCUGCGCACAGCAGUUGGAUUGCAGAAGAAGAACCACGCAGUGGUAGCCAAGUGCGACUUCGCAUUCCCGAGCGUGUUUCGACGUGGUACCACUAUAUAUGUACUGGAUCUAAGGGCAUGAAGCAUUCUACGGUGAAUUCUGACCAAUCCACAAUGGCAAGCGACGUUGAUCGGCGGCAAACAGAGACAGCACAUGGCAGUCUAGUCGCGACGUGUGGACUUUUAGUGAUAGUGUGCAAUGAGUCUUAGGAACCUAGUUUGGAUAGGUGAGUCUAAAAAUCCUAAUAGUUUACC
rnacentral:lncRNA from 1 species